ensembl:lncRNA
AUUUUCUGCUUGCUCAAUCUCAGUACAUCUGCAUCUUUAUUGUGUGCUGUUUUGUUAAUUGUAAUCUUUUGAACAACUCUGAAAGUAGCACUCCUCGAACAUGCAGUCAGUAAACUCUAUUUUGACUGUCCCGAUUCUGCCUUCAUUUCACUCGUCUAUGAGCUGCUCUCCGUCCUCCCUCUUUGUCUCCUGAGCUUGAGAACAGAAAGACUGAACAUUCACACAGGCCUGAAGAGCAGUUUAGAGGGGAGGGCAGCUUUAAAAAGCUCUUUUCAGUUUGGACAACAUCCUCUGCUUUAUUUUGCUCAUUUUGUGUGCACUCCACCUCUCCUGUUCCCUCCAUCCCUUUUCAUCCUUUGAUUUCAUUCUGCCUUUCUUCUUUCCAUCCACAGGCUCUUUAUCCUUUCUUUUUUCCACCAGGUGACGCACUGCAAACACAAUACAGCUGAAGAGGAAGAAAGACGGAUGACUUUUGACUGCCGCCUCCUCUCUCUUCCUCCCUCUGUUAAAGGGCAGGCAUCAGUGUGUUCCGCAGUGAGCAAGCUGCCAAUGGAAAACAAAGGUUUACAUUAUAUUGUGCUGACGACAUCAGGUCUCCAUGACAGCUUAUGGGUACCAGACACCUAGAACAAGAUGGUCCGUUGCGUGUUUGUGAAACAGGACGAGGGAAAGAGAAUAAAAGCAUCAAGAAAAAAUGUAAAUGUGUUUGAGAGCUUGAUGAAAUUAUAUUUGCUGACUCUUUCCCUCUAGAGUGUCUAUUUGGUGCCAUAAUGACGCCCCUCAGUCGAAAGUGUGUAGUGCAGCUCACUUUGUGCUUGGGCUUGUAGUGAUAAUUAGACUGUUAAAUUCGAUUCAUGGAUACACUGUUUUAAAUAUAGAAGUAAAGGGACAGUUCUCACAAAAAUGUAAAUUCUGUCAUCAGUUACUCACCCUAAUAUUGUUUCAAACCUUAUGACCUGCUUCUGUACCUUAUUUCUGGAACACAAAAGGAGAGACUGUGAAAAAAACACACUGGUUGUUCUUUUUCUUGCAAUUAAAAUGAAUGGGAAACUUAAUUUUCAAGCUUCAAAAAAGGAUGCAAAAGCAAUUAAAAAAAAUCAUUGAUUCAUAUGAUAUGUGCACUAUACUUCACAUCAUCUGAAGUAAUACAGUAGCUUUUGUUGACAAACCAUAAUUUUUAUUUUUAUUCACUGACUUCUUCCCACUAGUGAGCUGUUAUCCACUGCAACCUGAUCAUUGAAUUUGAGAACCGUGUCAGUCAAUUUUUUUGUGGACAAAUCAUUUAGGUUGGUUUUAGGUCUGAUUCAUUAAACAACUGACUCAUUCAUUCAUGAAUCAGACAUUGCUAAAAUAGUCUGAUAAAAGAUGUACAGUGAACAUCUUGUUCAGUGUUCAGUGACUUUUCAGUCAGUUCCUCAAACAAACCUUUCAGAAGACUUGAAAAACUAGACUUGAACUAUUCUUCAAAAAUGUUCUGUGUUCCACAGAAGAAAAUCAUACAGAUUUUGGUACGACUAAGGGUGAGUUUAUUUUUGGGUGGACUAUCCCUUUAAUAAUUUACCUCAUUACAAUCCAAAGGUGAGCUAAAGCACCGGAGUCCAUAGGAACUCAUCCAGAAUUAAUUAAAACAUUCCAACAUAACAAAACACACAUCUCAUAGUGUACAUCCCUCAUGAGAGAGAGAGAGACAGAGAGAGAGAGAGAGAGAGAGAGAGAGAGAGACAGAGAGAGAGAGAGAGACUUUUACCUCUGACCAGUCUCCACCCAUAAUAGCCUGCCAUCCAGGAGGGAGUGGCUGACCGAGGGAGGGGAAAGAGAGAGAGGGAGAGGGAAAGCUGGAGAGCUCUGCGGUAGCAGUCAGCGCAAGAACCAAAGCAGAAAAGUACUGAGAGAGAGAAGGGAAAAAGAAGGUACAUAGAGAAAAAAAACACUGGAAUUAGGAGCUAAGAAAUAAAAUAAAGGAGAAAGAGCGAGAGAGAAGUCUGGAAAAUCAUUUCAGACCAGGACAGAAGAGACUGAGAGAGAGAGGGGAAAAAAAGACAGAAACAUGAAUUAAAAGAAGUCUUGGACUUCACAUUGGAGACACAUGUCCACGUGUGAACUGUUGCUGCUGCUGUGAUCUGUCAUUCCUCCUCACAGUGUGUGUGUGUGUGUGUGUGUGUGUGUGUGUGUGUGUUCUUGAGAGACUGAGGAGAGUGUGUGUGAGCCUGUCGUUCCUCUGGAGUCUACGGGACCAUGGCACCUGUCAGGAAUGGGUGAACUUGAGGCUUAAAGGACUCUGGGAAGAGAAAGAAAGAGAAAAAGGCUGAAAGAGUAAAAGGUAAGAUUAUUUCUUUUCUAGCAAUUUAUAGUAAUGCUGAGUUUUUGUAUGUAGAAGUGUGUGUGAAUGGUUCUCCCUUUUUAAUUUGUGAUUAGUGGAGAUUAAUUUGUAUUAACCAGCAUUUAAAUAUCUUGAUCCUUUGAUAUUUACUUGAAUAAUUUGAAUAAAGGCCAUACAACUAGUUGAAAAAGUGAGAGUGUGUACAUUGGGUAGGGAGCCCUCCAAUGCGACAAGCUGUUCGACCUCUUUGUGCAGGCGUGUAUUUAACAUAUUGUGCAUGAAUGUGGAUGAAUGAUGGCCUGGUAUUGUGUUUCUAGAUAUGAAUAUAGUUAAGUCUGAGAUCUUGUGUAAUAUAUGGAUAAAUCAUGGGUUGUUAUGUUGUUCCAGUUAUUAAAACUAGUUUAGAUUGUGUGCGUCUCUCUGUAUGUGUGGACUGACCUAUCUGGACUGUUUUCUUAAUAUAGAGUGAUAUUAAAAGAUUAAAUAGUCUGUGAAUAAGGAAGAGAGAGUGACAGAUAAAGAAUGGAAGAGUGAUAGGGAAAGACAUGUUCAUUCUGUAAGUGUGUUUCUGCUGAAAUAUUUACCCUGGUGCAACUCUGACUGUUCCUGUGUUGCUCAUUGGAUGAUGUUCUUUUGGUUCACACAAAGAGCAAAAGACUGUUAUCAUCACUCCAUCAUCAACUUUUUAUGAUUUUUAUAUUUUCAAGCCCAAAACCAUCACAGAUUAAUCAAACAUACAUAUAAA